rnacentral:rRNA from 1 species
GGUCUCAAGCGUUGUUCGGAUUCAUUGGGCGUAAAGGGUGCGUAGGCGGUCUGCUAAGUUUGGUGUGAAAUCCCGGGGCUCAACCCUGGAAUUGCAUUGAAUACUGGUGGACUAGAGUACUGGAGAGGAAACUGGAAUUUACGGUGUAGCAGUGAAAUGCGUAGAGAUCGUAAGGAAGACCAGUGGCGAAGGCGGCUUUCUGGGCCUUACCUGACGCUGAGACGCGAAAGCGUGGGGAGCGAACCGG